rnacentral:rRNA from 1 species
GACGAAACGACGUGGACGGCGUGCCUAACCACGAGUGCAAGUCGAGGCGGAGACAUGUUGCGGAAGGUUUCGAGUGGAAGGCGAUAUGUUUUAGCGGCGGACGGGUGAGUAACGCGUGAGCAACCUUUCCUUCACAGGGGAAUAACGCACCGAAAGGUGCACUAAUACCGCAUGAGACCACAGCUCUGCAUGGAGCAGUGGCUAAAGGAGAAAUCCGGUGAAGGGUGGGCUCGCGUCCGAUUAGCUAGUUGGCAGGGUGAUAGCCUACCAAGGCGACGAUCGGUAGCCGACCUGAGAGGGUGAUCGGCCACACUGGGACUGAGAUACGGCCCAG